AUUAUUUCCUCACAGCAGAUAGAUAUUACAACAGCAUCAUUAGGUAUGUAACUCAUACAAGAGUUUAUUUGGUUCAAGCCAGUCUGUUUGCAUACUAUUAUAUAUAUAGUAUCCUCAGCUGGAUAACAUGAGCUAUACUCAGCUGGAUAACAUGUGCUCACAUUAACUUCCGCAAAUGGAUAGAAUUCGUCCUUAUGCAUGUCUCCAUCCCAUGGCAUCUCAAAGCUUGGGAAUGAUAAUUUGCAGGAGUCCAUUU
rnacentral:lncRNA from 1 species